UACGGGGGGGCAAGCGUUGUUCGGAAUUACUGGGCGUAAAGGGCUCGUAGGCGGCCAACUAAGUCAUACGUGAAAUCCCUCGGCUUAACCGGGGAACUGCGUCUGAUACUGGAUGGCUUGAGUUCGGGAGAGGGAUGCGGAAUUCCAGGUGUAGCGGUGAAAUGCGUAGAUAUCGGGAGGAACACCUGUGGCGAAAGCGGCGCACUGGACCACAACUGACGCUGAGGCGCGAAAGCGUGGGGAGCGAACAGG
rnacentral:rRNA from 1 species